rnacentral:tRNA from 1 species
GCCUCGGGCCAGGUGGCGUCGAGCAGGAUAAACAGCGGGCGCUUGUCCUCUUGCAAAGUUACCGGUUCGAGUCCGGUUCGAGGCA